rnacentral:tRNA from 1 species
AGGGACUUAGGUUAAGUAAGACCAAGGGCCUUCAAAGCCCUAAGUGGGAGUUAGACUCUCUCAGACCCUG